rnacentral:rRNA from 1 species
UACGGGGGGGUAAGCGUUGUUCGGAAUUACUGGGCGUAAAGGGCUCGUAGGCGGCCAACUAAGUCAUACGUGAAAUCCCUCAGCUUAACUGGGGAACUGCGUGUGAUACUGGAUGGCUUGGAUUUGGGAGAGGGAUGCGGAAUUCCAGGUGUAGCGGUGAAAUGCGUAGAUAUCUGGAGGAACACCGAUUGCGAAGGCAGCUCGCUGGGACGUAACUGACGCUGAGACGCGAAAGCGUGGGGAGCAAACAGGG